GCCUAGCUGUUGCGCUGUGGAAAAUUCGAUGUGCGCGGCAUCAAGACGUUUUAGAAUAGAAAAAUGAAGUUCAAGCCGAUAGCAUCCAGCGUUUGACAUCGCCAACAGAGAGAACUGAGACAGGUUUGUUCAGGUUAGUAGGAGUGUUUUCUAUUUAGUACAGUUGUUAGGUCCUUCACAUUGGGCGUUGCGUUAUUCUAAAUAAUCCAUCGCCAAGAAAAAAAAAUGCUGUUUUCUGAUGUGUGACAGAUCGAUUAACUUUUAUGAACUUUGACAUGAACGAGAUUGAUGUAUUUAAUACUUGAAAUAUGCCAUAUAUGUUGGUAUCGAACCCAUUUAGCCAGUCUCUCGUCAUGUCCAUUUGAUUCUUUAUAAGGAUGCUGUCAGUCAUUCUUAUUGAGAUGCUCUAGAAAUACCUAGACUAGUUAUCGUCUCAUAAUAUUGUCCUUAGUUAAAUAUAACGUACAGCUGAUUCUCAGAAAGAAGAAAAAUCAAGGUGGGGAUUGCAGGGAAGGAGGAGGGUUUUCUGCUGCGACAAAGGUGUGCGUGCGUGUGUGGUUGGCCUAGACUGCUUGGCGUGGCAAAGAAAGGAUGUUACGCAGUUCUUAUUUACAACCCAGUGUGCUUUGCCCUGACCCAUGGAAUGUUUUCAUCUCGAUCAGUCAGAAUGGCGUCUAACAGGGAAUCUGGGAUGACGAGGAACUACAACACUGCAAAGAUAAACUGGAGCAGAGAGGAGGAUUAUCAUUGGCUGGUGGUGUAUCAUUAGACUGCACCCUGCCAGCUGACCUACCUCACUUCCCCGCUUCGAUUGAGAUGUCAUACAGAGGAACAUGCUGGGAAUUGUGGUCCGUGUUAAAGUGUGUCAGGCUACUCUGAGGAUACGGGUUUACCCUCCCUUUUUCCUCAUGCAUCACUUCAGUUUUGAAUAUGGUGACAUAAUCCAUGUUGUUCUGCCGUCUGUCUCCAUGGUUACAGAUCUGUAGUCACAAAACAGGAAGAGGAAGUCUAUGGGCCACUGAUGCGCCUUCCCAUGAUUCUACAGUCCCUCUUGUUUUCUUUUAAUCAUAAAAGUCCUUUAUCAUAUCUUACCCUGCGCGUCCAUUCUCUAAUCUGUCUGAACACUGGUAUGAUGUUACCCUAUUAGUCACGUCAUUUGUGAUGUCCACAGAUUCAAGAUUCUUUCCGUCCCUGCCCAUAUUAUCUGACUUAGCUGUCCCCCGACAGCCUGGAUAUUUUAAACAGGCCGAGAUUAAAAACACGAGAAACAAAACAGCCCAGUUGUUACAUAACUGAAGCCGAGCUCUGCGAUGUGCCUUUAAAAGCUGCAGGCUGUCAGGUGAUCACAGGGGCACCGUCAUCUCAGUUCACCGAGACACCAGCGCGUCUCUCAGAGACGCAGAUGAGACGCCGAAGAUAUAAAAGAGGGUAGCUGACGGCUAGAGAAACAGUUAUAGGAGGACAGAGGGGAGAGGAGGUCACCAGAUAGACAGGAAAAGAAAGAAGCCAACUAUUAUCAAAGUGUCUCUAGCUCUCCGUCUCUCACUUCUCCACUCGUUAUGUUGGUUUCGAGAUGCUGUGUUUGUGUGCUCAUAACACAGAGUGAAAAAGACCCAAGAAUUAAGUGCUGCGUCACAAUGAGCGAGAGAGGCAAACUGAGAGAGAAGGAGACAUUGAGGGACUGUUGGAGCGUUUGCGGCAACUAUCUGUCUGGGUGAUCGCAAUGAGCGUGUUUGUAUGCGUCUAUUAGUGAUCUAUUUAUGUAGACAUGUGUCUGUCUGAAAAAAACAGCAGCGAUUCUGCUGUUGCAACAAGAUGAAAAUAGAGCGAGCAGGAGAGGGUGGAGGUCUGGUGGAGAGAGGGAGGAAGUGAGAGAGAGAGAGAGAGAGAGAGAGAUUUUGGAUUAGUUGCUACGUCACUUGUUCACGUCGAGAGGAAAACAGCAGCUAUGAGGAGAGGAUUCGGACAUGUGUGCUUUUCUCCUACCUGUGAGUGUAUCCCAGUCCUUUCGUCUGCUCGUCCGCCUUUCAUCCUCCUCUUUUUCUCUCCCACUUAUGCUCUCUCUGAUUUCACGUUUUAGUCCAUUUCUCCACAGUCGCAGCUCCAACAUGGAUGCUGAGAACGUGAUAGAGUUUCCUCGGAUUGUGUGCGCAGAGGUUCGGUGUUUGUCGACGUUUGCUGGGCGUGUGACGGUAUCACGAGGUCCGCAAAAAAAAACAGUUAUCAAAAAACGAUAACAAAACAAAUGCUGCUUUCGAAGGUUCUUGUGAGAAAUAGUUCAUGUAAAUAACAGUUUUAGCCUGUUAUUCGAACCACAUCGGAUACCGCAAGGGUUCGUACCGUAAUCGCAACACGCAUACUUACGGUUGAUACUGAUACCGAUAUAUAUAUAUACGUUACAUCUUUUCUGGCUUCUCUUAACAGGUAAGUCAAAUACAGCAGGCUAGUCACUGUAAGUCUGACCUGAGAUCAAUCUCUGGAUUAUUAAGACAUCAGGAGAGGCUACUUAGAUGUUACUUUAUGGCAUUUUAUGUCCCUUAUAUAAGGAUGGAUGAGUAGAAGAGCAGGUGCCUCGGCUAAAUUUGUGAUCUUUUGGCAGAGACGGGGGCAGAUGUCGCAUUUCCCUCAACAACAUUUGUUUCUGUAGUUUACUAGAAAUACUUGCAAAUAUUUGGAGCACUUACUUUUCAGUGCGUGACACAUUAUUUGAACUUCUCUCCCUGUGUCUUACUUUCAAUACAGGGGUUAAAUUGUGUCCUGAGGAGGGUUAUGUUGAUGAAAAGGGUAUAAAUGUCAUGGGAGGGAACCGGGGAAAGUACUAGAAUGAGAGGGAGAGAGAGAGCAAAAUUGUUUACCUUGCUCUCUUGGUGACUGUGCACUGGCAGGCGUCCAGUUCAAAUGCGCUAGACUUCCUAAUGCAGCUGCAUCAGAGAGAGGAGUGAUGGAGCUCUGCUCCUAUCAGGCGCCGGCUGGUGCUUCCGACUUUUUCGCAGCUCCAAAUCCCAUUGGAUUAGCCCUGGGAAGCAGCUGGAGGGAUUAAUCCGAUUGGCUGCAAGGUAAUAUAAUCAUUCGUGAGUACUCUUGUUAUGGUAGAGUGUUGUUGUUUAAGAGAGCUGUUACUUGGUAGAACCUCACUAUGGAAAAAUGUUAUUCAAAGGGAUAAUCCACCCAAAAAUGAAUAAUCCGUUCUCGUUUAUUCACUCGCACCUCUGUGCCAUUUUUCUUCUGUGGAACACAAAAGGAGAUAUUUUGUAGAAUGUCUGUGUUGUCCAUACACUGAAAGUCAAUGGGGUCCAAUUUAGUUGUUGUUGUUUAAAACAUGAGGAUGGGAAAAUUAUUUUAAUGCAGUUUAAAAGGAUAUGUCAUUAUUUAUUCCCCAUAUUGUCGUUCCAAAUAGUUUCGGUUCCCAUUGACUUUCAUUGGCAUUUGAUGUUUUUUUACAUCAAAUGAUUGUUUGAUUAGAAUUGUCUUCUUUUGUUGUUGUUGUUGUUGUUUGUUUGAUUUUGUCUUUUCUUAACAAUUCUGAUCACAAUCAGUGUCAAACAGUGCCAUGGUAAGUUUGUUACGUGCAUGCGAUUUGUUCUAUUAGGGAGACGGUCCUGUCCUAAAACCUGUUGCGUGUUGAGCGGUGUUGUCCCCAGGUUACGUCCGAGGGUGUGUGUGUGUGUGUGUGUGUGAGAGAGGCAGAGGCCUGCACUGCAGCUGUUAAUGCUGCAUUAGACGCCACAGACCGGAGCUCUGGCAAACGUUGGUAGCACCAGAGGGCCAGAGGGGAUUGCAUCCCUGUCUACCUCAUCAUCCCUAUCACGUGGGAGGGGCGUUUUUUGGUGGAUGAAGCUCGCAACAUGGCGGAAUUAACCUACCGGCGUCUGGGCCGAGGAAUGGGCUGUGACGCAGAUUGUAACUCAUGCUAUUUUUCCCUGAUAUUCAGCAUGGUUUUUUAGCUCCCCGUGAUAUUGAUAUCAGUGUAGGCCAUUUUCUUUUUGAAAGCUGUUCAAUAUAUAGGAUGUAUGUAUAGAAUUAUUAUUCAUUUGUUUGAUUGAUUGAUUACUGUACAACAUAAUGUCUAGGUAGUGGGCCCAAAAAGUAUUUGGACACUUACAAAUGUACAAAGUACAAAUAAAAUAGAAUAAAUGUAAAUA